rnacentral:rRNA from 1 species
UACGGGGGGAGCAAGCGUUGUUCGGAUUUACUGGGCGUAAAGGGCGCGUAGGCGGUCAGCACAAGUCAGUUGUGAAAUCUCCGGGCUUAACUCGGAAAGGUCAACUGAUACUGUGCGACUAGAGUGCAGAAGGGGCAACUGGAAUUCUCGGUGUAGCGGUGAAAUGCGUAGAUAUCGUGAGGAAGACCAGUGGCGAAGGCGGGUCUCUGGACAGUUCCUGACACUGAGGCACGAAGGCCAGGGGAGCAAACGGG